rnacentral:rRNA from 1 species
CGCGGGGCAACCUGGCGGCGAGCGGCGAACGGGUGAGUAAUGCAUCGGAACGUGUCCAUGUCGUGGGGGAUAGCCCGGCGAAAGCCGGAUUAAUACCGCAUACGCCCGAGAGGGGUAAGUGGGGGACCGCAAGGCCUCACGCGAUUGGAUCGGCCGAUGUCCGAUUAGCUAGUUGGCGGGGUAAAGGCCCACCAAGGCGAUGAUCGGUAGCUGGUCUGAGAGGAUGAUCAGCCACACUGGGACUGAGACACGGCCCAGACUCCUACGGGAGGCAGCAGUGGGGAAUUUUGGACAAUGGGGGCAACCCUGAUCCAGCCAUUCCGCGUGAGUGAAGAAGGCCUUCGGGUUGUAAAGCUCUUUUGUCCGGAACGAAACGGGUAGCGUGAAUAUCGCUGCCUACUGACGGUACCGGAAGAAUAAGCACCGGCUAACUACGUGCCAGCAGCCGCGGUAAUACGUAGGGUGCGAGCGUUAAUCGGAAUUACUGGGCGUAAAGCGUGCGCAGGCGGUUUUGCAAGCCGGAUGUGAAAUCCCCGGGCUUAACCUGGGAAUGGCAUUUGGGACUGCAAGGCUGGAGUGCGGCAGAGGAGACUGGAAUUCCUGGUGUAGCAGUGAAAUGCGUAGAUAUCAGGAGGAACACCGAUGGCGAAGGCAGGUCUCUGGGCUGACACUGACGCUCAUGCACGAAAGCGUGGGGAGCAAACAGGAUUAGAUACCCUGGUAGUCCACGCCCUAAACGAUGUCGACUGGUUGUUGGGGGUUUGACACUCUCAGUAACGAAGCUAACGCGUGAAGUCGACCGCCUGGGGAGUACGGCCGCAAGGUUAAAACUCAAAGGAAUUGACGGGGA